GGAAGGGUGCAGGAGUGGUUGAACUGGCGACACUGGAAAUGUCGUGUACGGGCAACCGUACCGGGGGUUCGAAUCCCCCCCCUUCCGCCA
rnacentral:tRNA from 1 species